rnacentral:lncRNA from 1 species
GUCCGUGACCCGCGUGCCAGCCUCGGCGUCCCGGCCCGGGCGUCCGCGAGGUGGGGGCAGGCGGCGGCUGGGCGCCCCCAGGCUGAGGGGUCGCGUGCCGCCGAGGACCCCCUCUUGCCACGGCCUCGGCGGCGCUCCCCAGCCGCGGCCAGCUGGGCGUCCCGCGAGGACUGGGAGCUGCCCGAGGGCCGUCGUCGUCGCCAGCCCGGUAGCCCGGAUGUCGCUGCCCCCCGCGGCGGGGCCGCCGACGCGCUUCUCGGCCCCGGGAGGAGGCUUGUCUUAAAGGGACAGCGCCCCGUUCGAGGCAGAGGGGGCGCUGCGUUCUGCCCUCCGUGCGCGACCCCUGCCCCGAGGGGCCGCUGCGCCGCCGCCCCGAGCCCCCUCUUCAGGGCCGGGCGUCAUCGGAGCGCGGCGCGCCCUCCCCCGGAUGGCCGCAGAUGGCCGCCCAGAGGCCAGGUUUUCCUCUGGCCCGAGCCGUGGCCGGUGGCGCCGCGCGGGGCCUGGAGGCGCCGGCCUGUGAUUGGCCGAGGCCGCCGUGAAUGCAGGACAUUGUCUGGUCGCGGCCGUCUCUGUCCCUGCCCGCCACCCUCGCACGGAUCAAAAUGGGUGCGGAGCGAGGGCCCGGGCCCGCCCGCUCCCCCGGCCCGGGGGUCUUGUCCACGGUGGGCACACCGCGGUGGGAGAGCGUAACUUUUACAGAUCACGGAUGCUGAGAAGGGCAUAAAGCUUCCUCAAAUGACGGUGGUUCCAGGCUCCUCGUCUUCGCCCAGCAUAAUAUAGGAGUAAAAAGCAGAAGUCAUCAGCAGACAGGUUCCAGCUGUCUCUGGAAGGGAAACGUGCAUAGUUGUGUGGAUGUCUGCGACUCCGCCGUCCGUGUCUUCACCGGUCAGAGAAGGGAGAACAGGCUUCUCCGGGCCCUCCCUUGUGUUUCUCGAGCUCUAGCAGAGACGUUUUCUGUAAUUGGUUUUCCACAUUUGCCAAGAGUCUGUUUCCUCUUACCAUUCAACAUGUUUAACAGAAGUCUUGUACUAGUUCCAAAAAUAAUAAAACCAGUCCCAAGCAUAAAAGUGAUACAUACACAACACAUUGCUUUCUUGUUGUGGCUUUGGUUUCAUUAAGUUCUUUUUCAUAAUUUUUAGUGUCAAAUCAUGUGGUAGAAAUAAAAAGGUUUUCUUCACAGUAAUAAAACCCACUGAAGAAAUGCAAUCGAUGGCUUGCACAGCGAGCCUUAUCUGCACAGAGGCCGUCCCAGGACAGUGUGGCCAUC